rnacentral:rRNA from 1 species
AUUGAACGCUGGCGGCAGGCUUAACACAUGCAAGUCGAGCGGGGGUAGCAAUACCCUAGCGGCGGACGGGUGAGGAAAGCAUCGGAACGUGCCCAGUAAUGGGGGAUAACACAGCGAAAGUUGUGCUAAUACCGCAUACGCCCUGAGGGGGAAAGUGGGGGACCGCAAGGCCUCACGUUAUUGGAGCGGCCGAUGCCCAAUUAGCUAGUUGGUGAGGUAAAGGCUCACCAAGGCGACGAUCGGUAGCUGGUCUGAGAGGAUGAUCAGCCACAAUGGAACUGAGACACGGUCCAGACUCCUACGGGAGGCAGCAGUGGGGAAUAUUGGACAAUGGGGGCAACCCUGAUCCAGCCAUGCCGCGUGAGUGAAGAAGGCCUUCGGGUUGUAAAGCUCUUUAAGCGGGGAGGAGGCUACUUUAGUUAAUACCUAGAGAUAGUGGACGUUACUCGCAGAAUAAGCACCGGCUAACUCUGUGCCAGCAGCCGCCGUAAAAC